GACGAACGCUGGCGGCGUGCUUAACACAUGCAAGUCGAACGGAAAGGCCCUGCUUUUGUGGGGUGCUCGAGUGGCGAACGGGUGAGUAACACGUGAGUAACCUGCCCUUGACUUUGGGAUAACUUCAGGAAACUGGGGCUAAUACCGGAUAGGAGCUCCUGCUGCAUGGUGGGGGUUGGAAAGUUUCGGCGGUUGGGGAUGGACUCGCGGCUUAUCAGCUUGUUGGUGGGGUAGUGGCUUACCAAGGCUUUGACGGGUAGCCGGCCUGAGAGGGUGACCGGGCACAUUGGGACUGGGGUAACGCCCAGACCUCCUCGGGAGGCAGAAGGGGGGAAUAAUGGACCAUGGGCGGAAGCCUGGUGCAGGAACGCCGCGGGCCGGAAUGAGGGCUUCGGGGUGGAAACCGCUUUCGGCUGUGACGGAGGGGUAGUGACGGUAAUGGGUAAAGAAGCACCGGCUAACUACGUG
rnacentral:rRNA from 1 species